rnacentral:rRNA from 1 species
AGGACGAACGCUGGCGGCGUGCUUAACACAUGCAAGUCGAGCGGAAAGGCCCUUCGGGGUACUCGAGCGGCGAACGGGUGAGUAACACGUGAGUAACCUGCCCCUAGCUCUGGGAUAGCUCCGGGAAACCGGGAUUAAUACCAGAUACGACCACUUUAGACAUCUGUCGUGGUGGAAAGGAUUCCGGCUAGGGAUGGGCUCGCGGCCUAUCAGCUUGUUGGUGGGGUAACGGCCUACCAAGGCGACGACGGGUAGCCGGCCUGAGAGGGCGACCGGCCACACUGGGACUGAGACACGGCCCAGACUCCUACGGGAGGCAGCAGUGGGGAAUAUUGCGCAAUGGGCGAAAGCCUGACGCAGCGACGCCGCGUGGGGAUGAAGGCCUUCGGGUUGUAAACCCCUUUCAGCAGGGACGAAGCGAAAGUGACGGUACCUGCAGAAGAAGCGCCGGCUAACUACGCGCCAGCAGCCGC